UACGUAGGGGGCAAGCGUUGUCCGGAAUUAUUGGGCGUAAAGAGCGUGUAGGCGGUCCGGUAAGUCAGCUGUGAAAGUCAAGGGCUCAACCCUUGAAUGCCGGUUGAUACUGUCGGGCUAGAGUCCGGAAGAGGCGAGUGGAAUUCCCGGUGUAGCGGUGAGAUGCGCAGAUAUCGGGAGGAACACCAAUGGCGAAGGCAGCUCGCUGGGACGGUACUGACGCUGAGACGCGAAAGCGUGGGGAGCGAACAGG
rnacentral:rRNA from 1 species